AUACAUGCAGUCGAGCGGACAGAAGGGAGCUUGCUCCCGGAUGUUAGCGGCGGACGGGUGAGUAACACGUGGGUAACCUGCCUGUAAGACUGGGAUAACUCCGGGAAACCGGAGCUAAUACCGGAUAGUUCCUUGAACCGCAUGGUUCAAGGAUGAAAGACGGUUUCGGCUGUCACUUACAGAUGGACCCGCGGCGCAUUAGCUAGUUGGUGAGGUAACGGCUCACCAAGGCGACGAUGCGUAGCCGACCUGAGAGGGUGAUCGGCCACACUGGGACUGAGACACGGCCCAGACUCCUACGGGAGGCAGCAGUAGGGAAUCUUCCGCAAUGGACGAAAGUCUGACGGAGCAACGCCGCGUGAGUGAUGAAGGUUUUCGGAUCGU
rnacentral:rRNA from 1 species